rnacentral:rRNA from 1 species
AUACGGAGGAUGCGAGCGGUAUCCGGAUUUAUUGGGUUUAAAGGGUGCGUAGGCUGUGCUGCAAGUCAGUGGUGAAAGACCUGCGCUCAACGCAGGAAGUGCCAUUGAUACGUCAGUGCUGGAGUACCCCUGCCGUGGGCGGAAUGAGAGGUGUAGCGGUGAAAUGCAUAGAUAUCACUCAGAACACCAAUUGCGAAGGCAUCUCACCAAAAGGCGAAUGACGCUGAGGCUCUAAAGCGUUGGGAUCAAACAGUCUUAGAUGCCCUUGUAGUCCAGGCUGUAAACGUUGAAGACUAGCCUUCGGCGAUGUACGGUCCGUGGCCAACGGACAACGAUAAGUGAUACACCUGGGGAGUACGAUCGCAAGGUUGAUACUGAAAUGCAUGUACGGGG